UAUUAAAAACUUCAUCUAUUUGUACUAUUAAAAACUAGCAUGACUGGUAGAAUAACUAGACAGUGCCAAGUGUAGCUUAUUCUGAUAUAUAAGAAACAAAUUUUAACAGUAGAAUUAGAUGAAUUUUUUAAUA
rfam:Gossypium hirsutum cultivar TM-1 chromosome 4, whole genome shotgun sequence